rnacentral:rRNA from 1 species
UACAGAGGUCCCAAGCGUUGUUCGGAUUCACUGGGCGUAAAGGGUGCGUAGGUGGUGAGGUAAGUCGGAUGUGAAAGCUCGGAGCUCAACUCCGAAAUGGCAUUGGAAACUACCUUGCUUGAGGGUUUGAGGGGGGAUUGGAAUACUUGGUGUAGCAGUGAAAUGCGCAGAUAUCGGGAAGAACACCCGUGGCGAAGGCGGCUCUCUGGGACGGUACUGACGCUGAGACGCGAAAGCGUGGGGAGCGAACAGG